GGUUCCACAAUGGUACAGGCAGCAUCACGCUGCACAAUGGUUUCCAGGCAGUGAAAGAGGGUGAUUCAGCAAGCCACUCUUCUUCUUCUAUUUUCUUUAACCUCCCCUUCACUUUUUAUUUUUAUGGGGGUGGGUGGUGCUUGCUAUAUGCUUACCUUUUUCUUUUAUUUUUUCAUUUUUACAAAUAUCCUUUUUUGUCCUCACCCCUCAAUUCCUAGGGGCUUGAGUGAGUUUAAGAUUGGGUUUUCUUGGAAAUCACCUGUCCAUCGUUAAUUUUAAACAAUCUCCAUAUCUCCAAAGAAUCUCUUCCAUAUUACAGUCUGGAAUGUGGUUAAUGAAAAACAAGUAGGGAGGAUUUCUGGGGCAAACACUGCCGGAUCAGGAUCGUAGUUCUCAGGCACGGAAUGGCUAGUGUGAGAAACACCAACGUCAGGCCCAUCUCAGAUCUUCACUAUGGCAACUCAUGCAAGAAACUGUUGAAUUAGACCCGUUUCCUAUAGAUGAGAAACCAUACAAGCUGUGGUAUUUAUGAGCCUCCAUUUCUUAUACUACUGCAGUGAACCAACAUUGGAUGUGAAAAUUGCCUUUUGUCAGGUGUGUGUUCCUUACAGGUAAAACAAGGGAUUCGAUAAACAAGUGGAUGUGUCAUAUAUUGCCAAACAUUACAACAUGAGCAAAAGCAAAGUUGACAACCAGUUCUACAGUGUGGAAGUGGGAGACUCAACCUUCACAGUUCUCAAGCGCUACCAGAAUCUAAAGCCUAUUGGCUCUGGGGCUCAGGGCAUAGUUUGGUCUCAAGAAAUAGCACCAACCUGUGAGCCAAAGGAGCCAUCUUAAUGUCUUUAGGUCAUUAAUUUUAGACAUAGCAUGUUCUUUACUACAAGGCUACUUUGAGAGUCACUGUGUCACUGUUGGGCUUCUGGCAUAAAUAAAGUUAACAUAAUAUACUCAAUAAACUCUUUCACUCCUUAGCUAACUCCAACAUCAUCCAGACACUGAUGCUCAUCCAAGUUGCCGUGUAGAUUUAUAAGAAGAAUCUUGUUAAGAUAAAAUAACUAAACAUAAAUCAUACUUUAAAUUUUAUUGCCAUGAAAUGGCCAAAGGUAGGAAUGUAGCAGUAACCCCGGAAGAGCAGUCCUUGGUUCUUACUCUUUUGUCUUGGGGGAGUGACAUGUAAAAGCCUCUUCAACCAGAAGCACAGGUGCCCUUGAGCAGCAGGAGAGCAUAUCACUUAUAUCUAAAAGGGAAUAUUUUGUCAAUGAAAGUACAUGCUAAAAUAUAUUAUAUUGAUGGUCGUAAAAAUAAUGUUAUUAGAAAUUGUUUUAAACAAACAUUUUUGAAAAUGAAAAUAAAAAUACAGUUAAUAUUUUAUAACUUAUAUGAAUUGCCUAAAUCUCUUUUUAAUGAGAAGAAUAAUUACUGUGGUACAUCUCAUGUAUAUUAAUCUGUGGAAAUUUCUGAUAUUUUUCUGAAGUCAACUUUUUAAUAUGAAUUUAUUAUUCUUAAGUUUUAAUGAAACUUCUGGUAAUCUUCAAAAUUGCCUGUUAUGGUUAAUAAAUUUGAAAUAUUGACACAUUUAAUAUAUAUAACAAUAUUUUUAUUUGAAAAAUGUUCUCAAAAGGGGCUUAGGUAUCUGCUAAGAACAAAUUUUGCUAAAUUGAAAAUAUUCUUUUUAUUAAUUGAAAAUAUUCUUAAUUCUAAUGUAUUUUUGUAUUGUAAUGUAUAAGUAUUUGAGUCCAAGCUUUUUCACAGACACUGAGUUUUCCCCCCUUCAUUUGGUGUUCCAUUAUCCAAGAAAUAAUUUCAUAAUACCACACUUGCCAAAUAGAUUGCCGAAAUUUAUGGCUUUUUAAAUGGUUUGCCAAAUUUAGAUGCAGAAAAAUUAUAGGCCUUUAAAAUCAUAUUUCAAUCCUGCACAGAAUAUAAAUAUUUGGAAAUUAGAAAUUACACCAGGUCCCACAUAGAAUAUAAAUAGAUCAUAAAAUUCAGAACUUUAUCGAAAGACUGUUCUCACAAAUUAAGAUAUUCUAAAGUAUAAUUAUGGAAUUUCAAAAUGAAAUCUUAUCCUCUCUUUGAGAAUGCAUGAUUUCAUUUGAUUUGUUCAGUUAAUUUCUUUAGUCCAUUUCAGCACAUUCUUGUGGGCUUCAAGUUGCAAGUUUUGUUUAUAAUAAUAGCUAUUCCUUAAAAGUUUCAAGAGUUGAAUACUGGGAUGCUCCAUUUAUGAAAUACUAUGAUUAAACAUUUCCAAGUAAUUUUGCAAAAAAAAGCACCCAAAGUUUAGAGGACUUAUGUAUAAAAAGUUAUUUUUCAAUAGUAAGUAUGAGAAAUGCCAAGAAAAUAUGCCGAUUGCUAUUUCAAAGUAUUUUCAUUUUUUAAAUUCAAUAUCAGCUUUGUCUCCAAAAUUUUGUAAUAAAGUGAUUCUAAUUAUAAAAAUAUUUGUAAAUCUUGUCACCUUUAUCUUCUAUUUUGAUUUGUAGAAUAUUGCAAUUUAUUUGGACCCAAUGUGAAUUAUAUUUGCACCACAACAAAUUCAGAGUCCAUUUCUACUCCAUAGAUUUCUUAUUGUGAUAAGAAUACUGUUUUUAGUGUAAUUGUGUUCAGCAAAAAUUUUGUGUGUGUUAUCACUGAAAAAAUAAGUAACCUACCUUCGAUGACAACAUUUUUAACUAAAAUUGUUAUACUUUUUACACUAUUGUCAGAUUUUAAACUUUGAUAGAAUGACCUUCCAUAGCUUUAUUUUGAGUCACUGAAUUGGAUUAAAAAAUCAAACUAGUAUUUAAAUAUAUUAAUUUUAUGUUUGAGGCAUAUGAUAAAAUGAAAUAAAGUGGCCAUAACUUAAAUGUUUAUAAAAUUGUUUUCUGCUAAUAGAGGCAGCACAUUAACAACUGUUGCUUAACUUAUGGUACAUAUAUUUAAGAACUUGGGAGUUGAAUAGAAUGAACAGCAUACUUUCUGUCAUUCUUAGAUUGUUUUGUUCUGACUGACAUGACCUAAAAGUAAGUACAUGUGGAAGAAGGUCAUUAUGGAACUUACUGGUAAUUUAUU
rnacentral:sRNA from 1 species